AUUUACACCGACAUUUGUUCUGCUCUUGCUAUCAAUAAGACCCGCUGCAAAAAAGGUUUGGCAAUGUCAUGCUAAAAUGGAGUACGUCAAACCAACUGAACAUUUGUUGAGCCUGUUGAUUUUGCUGUUUUAGUAGAACAUUUGAUUCAUGGCGAGGGAAAUCUGAUAUUUUAUUAGCUCUGUUUAACAAAGAAUGAUAGAAGAGACCUGAAGCAACACAUUAUGACCAUCACAUAGAUUCUACCUGAUUUCACCCAAAAAAAUCUAUAAUUUGUUUAUACUCUGGUCAAAAGUUUGAAAUAAUUAAGAUUAUUAUUUUUUUUUUUAAGGUAGUGUCUUAUAGCCUACUCAGUGAGGCUGCAUUUAUUUGAUCAAAAACACAGUAAUAUUAUGAGAUAUCAUUACAAUAAUAAUAAAAAAAAACUGUUUAACAUAUUUUAAAAUGUAAUUUAUUCCUGUGAUGUAAAGCUGAAUUUUCAGCAUCAUACUCCAAUCUUCAGUGUCACAUGAUGCUUCCGAAAUCAUAUUAAUAUGCUGCACAUUUUAGCCCCCCCGCCCCACUUAGUCCUUGAAUGGCCUCUGAGUUUCUCAAACCAAAACCUUUCCAGUCUCACCAUUGUGGUCAGUAAUGCACUAAAUGCACCAUUUUCCGCACGUCAUAAGUCACGGAGUUCGGCUUUGCUGGUGAAACGAAAUUCUUCCACAGUCCAUAAAUGGAGCAACAGCCAAGAGAAACACACUGACCUCGUUCUCAUUCACAAUAUCUUCAGCCAGCAGCCACUGCUGAGAACACCAAAGGUUUACUGAAUAAAUUUGGAAACAAACUGGUCUGAACACUGGGUAAGUAAUACAACCUUGUUCCUGAUAUUUUUGCAUGUCCUUUUCAGCAUAUUGUGAAGCAUAAAACAAUACUGAACCUUUGUGUUAUUUGAAAUAGUAAAAAUAUUUCACAAUAUUACUGCUUUUGCUGUAUUUUGGAUCAAAUAAAUGCAGGUUUUGGUAAGCA
ensembl:lncRNA